rnacentral:rRNA from 1 species
GACGAACGCUGGCGGCGUGCUUAACACAUGCAAGUCGAACGGAAAGGCCUGCUUUCCCUUGUGGAUUGCGGGUACUCGAGUGGCGAACGGGUGAGUAACACGUGAGUGAUCUGCCCCCAACUUGGGUAUAAGCCUGGGAAACUGGGUCUAAUUCCCGAUAGGACUGCAGGGUGGUGCCUGUGGUGGAAAACGAUUUUCUAGUGGUUGGGGAUGAGCUCGCGGCCUAUCAGCUUGUUGGUGGGGUAAUGGCCUACCGAGGCGGCGACGGGUAGCCGGCCUGAGAGGGUGGACGGCCACAUUGGGACUGAGAUACGGCCCAGACUCCUACGGGAGGCAGCAGUGGGGAAUAUUGCACAAUGGGCGGAAGCCUGAUGCAGCGACGCCGCGUGGGGGAUGACGGCCUUCGGGUUGUAAACUCCUUUCGACCGCGAGGAAGCCACCUGGUUGGAAGGGUGGUGACGGUAGUGGUAGAAGAAGCACCGGCUAACUACGU